CUUCCCCUGCGGUGUUCGUAAGGACAUAUAUUCCUUUGAACCAAUAAUUCGCUUUUUUGGCGGUUGGGUAAUGGUGGGCGUGAGCAUUCCCUGUGAAUGAACCCGAAGCCAUUCGAUACUGCCAGCCUUGUCCUCAAGGUUCAAGCGGAUGGCGUCCAAACCGGCACCUGCGGGGGAAAC
rfam:Snodgrassella alvi wkB2, complete genome.